rnacentral:rRNA from 1 species
UACGAAGGGGGCUAGCGUUGCUCGGAAUGACUGGGCGUAAAGGGCAUGCAGGCGGUCGGACGCGUUUCGGGUGACAGCGGGUGGCUUAACUACCCGAGUGGUCGAAAGACGGUUUGACUUGAGGACGCGAGAGGGACACGGAAUUCCGGGUGGAGUGGUGAAAUGCGUAGAGAUCCGGAGGAACACCGAAGGCGAAGGCAGUGUCCUGGCGCGUAACUGACGCUGAGGUGCGAAAGCCAGGGGAGCGAACGGG